CCUACGGUGUGCAGCAGUCGAGAAUCUUUCACCAUGGGGGAAACCCUGAUGGUGCGACGCCGCGUGGGGGAAUGAAGGCCUUCGGAUUGUAAACCCCUGUCAUGUGGGAGCAAAUUAAAAAGAUAGUACCACAAUAGGAAGAGACGGCUAACUCUGUGCCAGCAGCCGCGGUAAUACAGAGGUCUCAAGCGGUGUUCGGCAUCACUGGGCGUAAAGCGUGCGUUGGCUGUUUCGUAAGUCGUGUGUGAAAGGUGCGGGCUCAACCCGCGGACGGCACAUGAUACUGGGAGACUAGAGUAAUGGAGAGGGAAGCGGAAUUCGCGGUGUAGCAGUGAAAUGCGUAGAUAUCGAGAAGAACACUCGUGGCGAAGGCAGGUUCCUGGACAUUAACUGACGCUGAGGCACGAAGGCGAGGGGAGCGAAAGGGAUUAGAUACCCGUGUAGUC
rnacentral:rRNA from 1 species